GACUGUGUCCAUUAAUACGGAAUGGCUUGACUUUAGCAUCAACACAAAGACAUUUAUCUAUCAUCGAGCGUGGUCAGUACUUGGAUGGGUGACCGCCUGGGAACACCACGUGAUACUGGCU
rnacentral:rRNA from 1 species